CCUACGGGAGGCUGCAGUGGGGAAUAUUGGACAAUGGGGGGAACCCUGAUCCAGCCAUGCCGCGUGUGUGAAGAAGGCCCUCGGGUUGUAAAGCACUUUCAGUGAGGAAGAACGCCUGGUGGUUAAUACCCAUCAGGAAAGACAUCACUCUCAGAAGAAGCACCGGCUAACUCCGUGCCAGCAGCCGCGGUAAUACGGAGGGUGCGAGCGUUAAUCGGAAUUACUGGGCGUAAAGCGCGCGUAGGUGGCUUGAUAAGCCGGUUGUGAAAGCCCCGGGCUCAACCUGGGAACGGCAUCCGGAACUGGCGAGCUAGAGUGCAGGAGAGGAAGGUAGAAUUCCCGGUGUAGCGGUGAAAUGCGUAGAGAUCGGGAGGAAUACCAGUGGCGAAGGCGGCCUUCUGGACUGACACUGACGCUGAGGUGCGAAAGCGUGGGUAGCAAACAGGAUUAGAUACCCCGGUAGUC
rnacentral:rRNA from 1 species